AUUGAACGCUGGCGGCAGGCCUAACACAUGCAAGUCGGACGGUAGCACAGAGGAGCUUGCUCCUCGGGUGACGAGUGGCGGACGGGUGAGUAAUGUCUGGGGAUCUGCCCGAUAGAGGGGGAUAACCACUGGAAACGGUGGCUAAUACCGCAUAACGUCGCAAGACCAAAGAGGGGGACCUUCGGGCCUCUCACUAUCGGAUGAACCCAGAUGGGAUUAGCUAGUAGGCGGGGUAAUGGCCCACCUAGGCGACGAUCCCUAGCUGGUCUGAGAGGAUGACCAGCCCCACUGGAACGGAAACACGGGCCAGACUCCUACGGGAGGCAGCAGUGGGGAAUAUUGCACGAUGGGCGCAAGCCUGAUGCAGCCAUGCCGCGUGUAUGAAGAAGGCCUUCAGGUUGUAAAGUACUUUCAGCGGGGAGGAAGGCGAUGUGGUUAAUAACCGCGUCGAUUGACGUUACCCGCAGAAGAAGCACCGGCUAACUCCGUGCCAGCAGCCGCCGUAA
rnacentral:rRNA from 1 species